rnacentral:rRNA from 1 species
CAGGCCUAACACAUGCAAGUCGAGCGGCAGCACGGGAGCUUGCUCCUGGUGGCGAGCGGCGGACGGGUGAGUAAUGCCUAGGAAUCUGCCUGGUAGUGGGGGAUAACAACCGGAAACGGUUGCUAAUACCGCAUACGUCCUACGGGAGAAAGUGGGGGACCCUCGGGCCUCACGCUAUCAGAUGAGCCUAGGUCGGAUUAGCUAGUUGGUAGGGUAAAGGCCUACCAAGGCGACGAUCCGUAACUGGUCUGAGAGGAUGAUCAGUCACACUGGAACUGAGACACGGUCCAGACUCCUACGGGAGGCAGCAGUGGGGAAUAUUGGACAAUGGGCGAAAGCCUGAUCCAGCCAUGCCGCGUGUGUGAAGAAGGCCUUUUGGUUGUAAAGCACUUUAAGCGAGGAGGAGGCUACUUAGAUUAAUACUCUAGGAUAGUGGACGUUACUCGCAGAAUAAGCACCGGCUAACUCUGUGCCAGCAGCCGCGGUAAU